rnacentral:miRNA from 11 species
GAUAAGUGAGACUCUUCUGUAUAUACAUGCAGAUAUAUAUGUGUGUGUGUGUGUAUGUGUGUGUGUGUGUGUAUAUACACACACACACACACACAUACAUAUAUAUAUACACAUAUAC